AGAGUUUGAUCCUGGCUCAGAUUGAACGCUGGCGGAAUGCUUUACACAUGCAAGUCGAACGGCAGCACGGGGGCAACCCUGGUGGCGAGUGGCGAACGGGUGAGUAAUACAUCGGAACGUGCCCAGUCGUGGGGGAUAACGUAGCGAAAGCUACGCUAAUACCGCAUACGAUCUCUGGAUGAAAGCGGGGGACCGCAAGGCCUCGCGCGAUUGGAGCGGCCGAUGGCAGAUUAGGUAGUUGGUGGGGUAAAGGCUCACCAAGCCGACGAUCUGUAGCUGGUCUGAGAGGACGACCAGCCACACUGGGACUGAGACACGGCCCAGACUCCUACGGGAGGCAGCAGUGGGGAAUUUUGGACAAUGGGCGAAAGCCUGAUCCAGCCAUUCCGCGUGCAGGAUGAAGGCCCUCGGGUUGUAAACUGCUUUUGUACGGAACGAAACGGUCCUGGUUAAUACCUGGGGCUAAUGACGGUACCGUAAGAAUAAGCACCGGCUAACUACGUG
rnacentral:rRNA from 1 species